AUUGUACUAGAAAAUAACUCCAAAAGUGUAACAAUACACUUGGUUCUCUGGGGAUGAGUCAACAGGCAGUCUCAAAGAUGGGUGGUGGGGGUAUAAAUUUGCUUCAUUGCUGUGAAGGAAAACUCUGCACUCUCCCAAUUACGAAUUCUACCUAUAGAUUUCUCUGGUAGAAAUAAACACUACUAAUGAACACUGCCUGCCUGGGAAAUGACUCGCACAGGUGUUUUUCACUACAGUAGUGUUUCUGAGAACAAAGGAUUAGAAGCUAUUUAAAUGUCAUUAUAUUGAGACAGGGAAAAUGUAUUAUGGUGCAUCAAUAUACUCACUUGUAAUAAUAUUAACUGAAUAAAAAAUUGAGGAAGAGACUUACAUAGUGAUAAAAGUAUCUAAAAUAAAUUAUUAAGUGGGAAAAGUCAAGUGCCAAAAUAAUGAGUAUGGUAGUUCACUAUUUGUGCAAAAGUAAGGUGAAAAAUACCUGUAUCAGCUUAUAUUCACUCAUACAACUUUUCUGGAAGACAAAUAAAACUGCUAACAGUUACCUGGUAUUAGUAAUGAGGAAGGGGGAGGGGAGAAAGAGGCAUCUUUCCAUGGCUUUUGAUGCUUGUACCACGUAAAUUACCCAUAACUAAAAUUGAAAUGCUAACUCUUAAAAAGUGUUUAGCCUCUUGGGAUAUAAAUUAGCAUCUAAGAAUAAGGAGCUGGAGAUUUUUAUUUUUUACAUGUAACCAUUCUGAUUUUUUUCUUUUUUUUUUUUUUUUUUUUUUGGAACAUGCGUGAGUAACCUAAAUGUACAUGUAUAAUCAAAAGGAACAAACGCAGAAGACAAGAGUAUUUUGAAAAGAGGUUUUUUUUCAUUUGGUAUCUCAUUAAAGAGAAAGGUUUUUUAAUAUUAAAACAUAGAUUUGCUUUGUAAGGUGUGGGGUUUCUUGACUGGUUGUAACACCUUAUGGAGAAAUACGUUAAAUGCUUUGUUUUGUAUGUAGAAGGACUCGUGGAAAUGACAGACUUCAUAAACAAAUAACAGAAGUAAGGGGCUCAAAAUGACAAGAGAGUAAACAUUUCUGAGAAGAAAAAGGUUAUGGUUCUAGCUUGUCUACACUUGCCCUUUGUCUAUACUAGGCCCUUGAUUUCGGUGAAAUAUUUAGAUCCAGUUUAAGGAAGGUGUCACGUGAAGGGGCACGUGGGGCACAUUUGACAAAUAAGCAGGGUCACCGGGUCUUUCAGGAAGGGGCACGCACGGUAGCGGGUGUUGAAAGGUCCGAGGGAAGUGCUUACCAACGUCAUGGGAAAAUGACAGGUGUCUGGGAGCGGUGGCCGGCGGCCCGGCAGCUCUGAGUUUGCGUGGCUGCGGCGCACGCAUACCAUUUCCCUUGGCCAAGGGGACAGGUGCACCCACUUGCCAUAGCAGAACACAGGCAGGAUCGCUUCGGGUUGUUUUCCGAAUUUUUCUGCAUUUUUUACUUAUUUAAUUUCUUCUAAUUUUUUUUACCUCCUUCACCUGUUUCUCCCCCCACCAUCGCCACCCCCAACAAAUAGCUUCUUCUUUAUUACUUAUUCCAACAUCAGAAAAGAAUCGAGAGUUCCUUCUCAUUUAUAUGCUUACUGGAAACAUUGAGAGUUUUUGGCUCGUGGAAAGAGGAUGGUCCCUCUACUGGACAGAAUUCACUUGCAUGCCUGUCCCUAAGAAUUAUGUCAUGUUGCUUUUAGAUAUCUGAGAUGUCCAGAGCUGGAAAAUAGCUCCCUGGUAACGAAAAGCUAGAAUCAGGUAACUGGCAAAAUGUGCUUUAGAGUCUAGACAGCGUCCGUCUCAUUCUUUCCUGAUGCAUAGAUACUCUCCUGUGUAUCAAAACACCUCAAAUUCAGUUGAAAAGUAAAAAAGCAAG